UACGAAGGGGGCUAGCGUUGCUCGGAAUCACUGGGCGUAAAGCGCACGUAGGCGGCUUCUUAAGUCAGAGGUGAAAUCCUGGAGCUCAACUCCAGAACUGCCUUUGAUACUGAAGAUCUUGAGUUCGGGAGAGGUGAGUGGAACUGCGAGUGUAGAGGUGAAAUUCGUAGAUAUUCGCAAGAACACCAGUGGCGAAGGCGGCUCACUGGCCCGAUACUGACGCUGAGGCACGAAAGCGUGGGGAGCAAACAGG
rnacentral:rRNA from 1 species